rnacentral:rRNA from 1 species
UACGAAGGGGGCUAGCGUUGCUCGGAAUCACUGGGCGUAAAGGGUUCGUAGGCGGUGUGGCAAGUCGGGAGUGAAAUUUCUGGGCUCAACUCAGAGACUGCUUCCGAAACUGCUGUGCUUGAGUGUGGGAGAGGCGCGUGGAAUUGCAGGUGUAGCGGUGAAAUGCGUAGAUAUCUGCAGGAACACCCGUGGCGAAAGCGGCGCGCUGGACCACUACUGACGCUGAGGAACGAAAGCUAGGGGAGCAAACAGG